rnacentral:rRNA from 1 species
GGGGGGGGGGGGGGGGGGGGUGGUGGGGGGAGGUCGGGGGGAGGGGGGGGGGGCGUGGUCCUCUGACGUUAGCGGCGGGGGGGUGAGGAACACGUGGAUAACCUACCUAUAAGACGGGGAUAACUUCGGGAAACCGGAGCUAAUACCGGAUAAUAUCUUGAACCGCAUGGUUCAAUAGUGAAAGACGGUUUUGCUGUCACUGAUAGAUGGAUCCGCGCCGCAUUAGCUAGUUGGUAAGGUAACGGCUUACCAAGGCAACGAUGCGUAGCCGACCGGAGAGGGUGAUCGGCCACACUGGAACUGAGACACGGUCCAGACUCCUACGGGAGGCAGCAGUAGGGAAUCUUCCGCAAUGGGCGAAAGCCUGACGGAGCAACGCCGCGUGAGUGAUGAAGGUCUUCGGAUCGUAAAACUCUGUUAUUAGGGAAGAACAAAUGUGUAAGUAACUAUGCACGUCUUGACGGUACCUAAUCAGAAAGCCACGGCUAACUACGUG